GCCGGGUGCGGUGGCGCACACCUGUAAUCCCAGCGGCUCGGGAGGUUGAGACAGGAGGAUUGCAAGUUCAAAGCUAGUGAGUUCAGCGACGGCGAGGUGCUGAGCAACUCAGUGAGACCCUGUCUCUA
rnacentral:sRNA from 1 species